rnacentral:rRNA from 1 species
CCUGCCGGCGACCGGCGCACGGGUGAGUAACACGUAUGUAACCUGCCCUAUGCAGGGGGAUAACCCGGAGAAAUCCGGCCUAAUACCGCGUAACACCUUUUGGGAGCAUUCCCGGGAGGUUAAAGGAGAGAUCUGGCAUAGGAUGGACAUGCGUCGCAUUAGGUAGACGGCGGGGUAACGGCCCACCGUGCCGACGAUGCGUAGGGGUUCUGAGAGGAAGGCCCCCCACACUGGUACUGAGACACGGACCAGACUCCUACGGGAGGCAGCAG